rnacentral:piRNA from 1 species
UGAUGGGACCGAAGCCAGUGCACACACC